rnacentral:rRNA from 1 species
UACGUAGGGAGCAAGCGUUGUCCGGAAUCAUUGGGCGUAAAGCGCGCGUAGGUGGCCUCAUAAGUCCGCUGUGAAAGUCAAAGGCUCAACCUUUGAAAGCCGGUGGAUACUGUGAGGCUAGAGUACGGAAGAGGCGAGUGGAAUUCCUGGUGUGCGGUGGAAUGCGCAGAUAUCAGGAGGAACACCAAUGCGAAGGCAGCUCGCUGGGACGUUACUGACACUGAGGCGCGAAAGCGUGGGGAGCGAAC